UACGUAGGGGGCAAGCGUUGUCCGGAUUCAUUGGGCGUAAAGAGCGUGUAGGCGGCCAGGUAGGUCGGUUGUGAAAACUGGAGGCUCAACCUUGAGAGGUCGACCGAAACCAUCUGGCUAGAGUCCGGGAGAGGAGAGUGGAAUUCCUGGUGUAGCGGUGAAAUGCGCAGAUAUCAGGAAGAACACCCGUGGCGAAAGCGGCUCUCUGGAACGGUACUGACGCUGAGACGCGAAAGCGUGGGGAGCGAACAGG
rnacentral:rRNA from 1 species